UUUGCGCAAUGGGCGAAAGCCUGNCGCANCAACGCCGCGUGCGGGAUGAAGGCCCUCGGGUCGUAAACCGCUUUCAGCAGGAACGAAUCUGACGGUACCUGCAGAAGAAGGUCCGGCCAACUACGUGCCAGCAGCCGCGGUAACACGUAGGGACCAAGCGUUGUCCGGAUUUAUUGGGCGUAAAGCGCGCGUAGGCGGUUUGGUAAGUCGGGUGUGAAACCUCCAGGCUCAACUUGGAGACGCCACCCGAUACUGCCAUGACUUGAGUUCGGUAGGGGAGUGUGGAAUUCCUGGUGUAGCGGUGAAAUGCGCAGAUAUCAGGAGGAACACCGGUGGCGAAGGCGACACUCUGGGCCGAUACUGACACUGAGGCGCGAAAGCGUGGGGAGCAAACAGGAUUAGAUACCCUGGUAGUCCACGCCUUAAACGAUGGGUACUCGGUGCUGGGCCGCAAGGCUCAGUGCCAAAGCUAACGCAUUAAGUACCCCACCUGGGGAGUACGAUCGCAAGGUUGAAACUCAAAGGAAUUGACGGA
rnacentral:rRNA from 1 species